rnacentral:rRNA from 1 species
GACGAACGCUGGCGGCGUGCUUAACACAUGCAAGUCGAACGAUGAAGCUGGAGCUUGCUCCGGUGGAUUAGUGGCGAACGGGUGAGUAACACGUGAGGAAUCUGCCCUUGACUCUGGGAUAACUGCGGGAAACUGUAGCUAAUACCGGAUAUUUUCCUUGGUGGGCAUCCACUGGGGAAGAAAGAAUUUCGGUCAAGGAUGAUCUCGCGGCCUAUCAGCUAGUUGGUGAGGUAAUGGCUCACCAAGGCGACGACGGGUAGCCGGCCUGAGAGGGUGACCGGCCACACUGGGACUGAGACACGGCCCAGACUCCUACGGGAGGCAGCAGUGGGGAAUAUUGCACAAUGGGCGCAAGCCUGAUGCAGCAACGCCGCGUGAGGGAUGAAGGCCUUCGGGUUGUAAACCUCUUUUAGCAGGGAAGAAGCGAAAGUGACGGUACCUGCAGAAAAAGCACCGGCUAACUACGUGCCAGCCGCCGCGGUAACAC